GGCUGGUCUGAAGGUAGUGACUUGUCUCACUUGACUGCCCACAGUCGGUUACAGGUUGAACUCCUUGUUCUACUGUUCCCCCGACCCCUUCUCACCUCUGCAUUUGGCUAGUCUAAA
ensembl:misc_RNA Y_RNA Y RNA